CCUUCGAUAGCUCAGUUGGUAGAGCGGUGGACUGUAGCAACGAGCGUGAAACGAUUGUGAGUUGGCGAUUGGUAUCUUACUUUAAUUACCUCCGAUCAACCGUCUCCAAUGUAGUAGAAAUCCAUAGGUCACUGGUUCAAAUCCGGUUCGAAGGA
rnacentral:tRNA from 1 species